AUGAAGAAAGGUAAAGUUUGGUUUGUGGUAGAGUUGAAAUCCUUUGAGAUUUCCGUUGGGGCAGUGAAAGGUAAGCUUGGUUGUACAGUGCUAGAAAGGAGCCAAGGUUUUUCAAGUUGGAUUAGAUUUGAUGGCCAUGCUUGGAGGGGUGGAGGAUUCUAUCGAAAUGUUUUAGGGAAGUCUUUUAAGAAAGAUUGGAUGAAAAGAGGGAAGAGUUACAGAUUGGAGCUUCAAAGCAAUCUACAUGGCCAUGAUGAAUAUAUAAGGGAACAAAAUAUCACUUUGUUUCAAGCCUUUAGAAGUCUGGAAAAAACCUCAGGGGGUCUCAUUGAACUGGAUAGAGAAACACAUUAUAGAGAUGCAUAAUGCCAUGUAACUAACCCACUAAGAGCCAAAACCCAUUUUUAUCCAAUAUUGCUAGAACAAAAGUGGACUAUUUAUUGGUAAGCAGAACUGGCAAUGUAGGAUGAACUGGAAAUCGGGUUACAGUGUCCAACUGCGCACUAACCUAGAACCCACUAAGGGUGCUAGUCGAUUAAGAUAGCAGGAUGGUGGUUAUGGAAGUCGAAAUCCGCUAAGGAAUGUGUAACAACUCACCUGCCAAAUCAACUAGACUUGAAAAUGGAUGGUGUUGAAGCAUGCGACCUAUACCUGGUCGUUGAGGCAAGGGCUAGGUCUUAAUGAGUAGAGAACGUCGUGGUCGUUACAAAACCUGGGGCGUGAGCCUGGGCAAAGCAAUCGUUGGUGUGGAUCUUUGUGGUAGUAGCAAAUAUUCAAAUGAGAACUUUGAAGGCCAAAAGGGGGAAAGGUUCCAUGUGAACAACACUUGCACAUGGGUUAGUUGAUCCUAAGAGACAAUGGAAACUUGUCCUACAAUGUGCAAUGUGCUAGCUUAGAAAGGGAAUCGGGUUAACAUUCUUGAACUGGGAUACGACAGCUAACGACAACGUUAGGAAGUCCAGAGACAUCGUCGAGGGCCCCAGGAAGAGUUAUCUUUUCUAUUUAACAAUUUGCCCACCUUGGAAAUGGCUUAGUUAGAGGUAGGGUCCUGUGGUUGGAAAAACAUCGCACAUCGUGUGGUGUCCAACGUGCCCUUGACAACCCUUAAAAAUCUAGAGGACCAAGUACUUCCCAAGCCCGAUCAUAUUCUUUUUCAAUUUCUAGCUUACAAAUGAUCCCGCUC
rnacentral:ncRNA from 1 species